UGCCAGCAGCCGCGGUAAUACGAACUGUGCGAACGUUAUUCGGAAUCACUGGGCUUAAAGGGUGCGUAGGCGGCAAUGUAAGUGGGGUGUGAAAUCCCUCGGCUCAACCGAGGAACUGCGCUCCAAACUACAUAGCUCGAGGAAGACAGAGGUGAGCGGAACUGAUGGUGGAGCGGUGAAAUGCGUUGAUAUUAUCAGGAACACCGGUGGCGAAAGCGGCUCACUGGGUCUUUUCUGACGCUGAGGCACGAAAGCUAGGGGAGCGAACGGGAUUAGAUA
rnacentral:rRNA from 1 species